AGAGUUUGAUCCUGGCUCAKAUUGAACGCUGGCGGYWUGCUUUACACAUGCAAGUCGAACGGCAGCACGGGGGGUAACCCCUGGUGGCGAGUGGCGAACGGGUGAGUAAUAUAUCGGAACGUGCCCUGUAGCGGGGGAUAACCUAUCGAAAGAUGGACUAAUACCGCAUACGCUCUACGGAGGAAAGCGGGGGCCGCAAGGCSUCKCACUAUAGGAGCGGCCGAUAUCGGAUUAGCUAGUUGGSGGGGUAAAAGCCCACCAAGGCGACGAUCCGUAGCUGGUCUGAGAGGAUGAUCAGCCACACUGGAACUGAGACACGGUCCAGACUCCUACGGGAGGCAGCAGUGGGGAAUUUUGGACAAUGGGCGCAAGCCUGAUCCAGCCAUGCCGCGUGAGUGAAGAAGGCCUUCGGGUUGUAAAGCUCUUUCGGCAGGAACGAAAUGGUUCGUGCUAAUACCACGGAUUGAUGACGGUACCUGAARAAGAAGCACCGGCUAACUACKUGCCASCAGCCGCGGUAAUAC
rnacentral:rRNA from 1 species